GAUGAACGCUGGCGGCGUGCCUAAUACAUGCAAGUCGAGCGAACAGACGAGGAGCUUUCUCCUCUGACGUUAGCGGCGGACGGGUGAGUAACACGUGGAUAACCUACCUAUAUUACUGGGAUAAUUUCGGGAAACCGGAUCUAAUACCAGCUAAUAUAUUGAACCGCAUGGUUCAAUAGUGAAAGACGGCUUUGCUGUCACUUAUAGAUGGAUCCGCGCCGCAUUAGCUAGUUGGUAAGGUAACGGCCUACCAAGGCGACGUUGCGUAGCUGAGCUGAGAGGGUGAUCGGCCACACUGGAACUGAGACACGGUCCAGACUCCUACGGGAGGCAGCAGUAGGGAAUCUUGCACAAUGGGCGCAAGCCUGACGGAGCAACGCCGCGUGAGUGAUGAAGGUCUUCGGAUCGUAAAGCUCUGUUAUUAGGAAAGAACAAAUGUGUAAGUAACCAUGCACGUCUUGACGGUACCUAAUCAGAAAGCCACGGCUAACUACGUG
rnacentral:rRNA from 1 species